CUGGUUGACACUCUAUCAACUGAGCCAAACCUGCUAGAAGAUUCUUUAAAUUUAUAUGUUAUUUGCUGUGUUCUCCGUUCCGGCAGUUGACUGGUGGAGUUCAGGUGUUCUAAUGUAUGAACUAUUCACAGUCAAUGGGGAGAAGAAUUUCGGAGGUGAGCUCUCUAGGUAAGACUCCACAAAAUAAAAUGAAUGUGUUGUUACCAAAUUAGAAUUAAGCGGUUAAUUUUAAUUGAUAUAGGGUAUAUAUAGUUAUACCUUUAUGUUUCUUUAUGUUUUAUAUGCCCAGAUAGAUGUUAAGUUUCAUAGGGAGAGUGUCCUAAUUUUUGUGUGUUCCAAAGCAGUUAGCAUGGGGCAUGAGCUGCUGGCAGAGCCAUUUAGAAUGCGGGCCAUGGGGCCGUUUGGAAUGGGUGGCAUGGAAACAGUGGAAUGUUUGGUGCAGAGUCGGUGGGCGUGGAGUCGGUGGGUGUGGAGUCGGUUGUGUGUGGAGUCGGUGGGUGCAGAGUCGGUGUGUUAAGAGUCGGUGGACGUAGAGUCGUCGGUGAACUUAGAGUCGGUGAACUUAGAGUCGGUGAGCUUAGAGUCGGUGAGCGCGGAGUCGGUAAGUGCAGAGCCUUUUCAUGUGUAGGAAGGGACUGUGCCUGCCUCCCCCUCAGGGCUGUUGGGAAGAGUGAAUGUGGCGAAGACAGAGGGCACCUAGUGCAGAGCUGGGGAUGGGCAGAGAGACGGUGCCCAGGUGACUCCAGAGUCUGUGAGCAAACCCUUCCCGCUGCCAGGCUUUGAUCAGAACUGUGUCCACUGAUGGAAGGUCCAUGGCUUCCCUCCUACCAAGAAUCCUGGGUUCUGGGCCCUGUGGGAAAAUGAACACGAGAUGGAAAAGCAGCAGCUACCACUCACUCCCAGUCGUUAAAACCCAUGAGUGGGGCCAGCCUUGGAAAACUGCCCACCGAGAGAAACAGUCACAUCCCGUGUAUGCGUGUUCCCAGACUGUGAAGGCACUUGGGGGAGACUCAGCCCCCUAAGACACCCAGUGGUUCUGGGAGGCUCCUGGGGCGGGAGCAGAGAUGAGGGGAAAGAGCUGAACGGCUCCCCCGUGUGUGCUGGGCCCUGGGACAGGUGUAAGUCCAGCAGACUCCUCCCAUGAGGGGGCCUGCGAGGGGCCAGCCAUGGCGUCCCACACUCAGCAUGUGCCUGACACCCAGAGGCCCAUAGUAUUGUUUGUUAUGCCUUAGCCCUCAUUUCCAGGAAACUGCCGAGAGCUGCCGAGAGCUGUUGGUUUUCCAAGAGGACGUGUGUAAACUGUUCAGAUAGGAACUGUGUGUUGAACAAAAGCUCACCCAUAGCCAUUUAUUUCCAGGACCCAGAUCAGUGAAGUGACUGUGGAAUUGAGAGGCCUGGACUCAGCCCUCUAACCCGGGAUAGACUCUUAGCCCCACUCCUUCCUUGUUAAGGAAACAGCUCAGUGAAGCCCCACACCUGUCAGCAGGUGCACUCGUCCAAUAGACAAGGAUGUCCAUGUCAGACACACU